rnacentral:rRNA from 1 species
UACGGGAGGCAGCAGUGGGGAAUAUUGGGCAAUGGUGGCAACACUGACCCAGCCACGCCGCGUGCCGGAAGAAGGCGCUCUGCGUUGUAAACGGCUUUUAUCCGGGAAGAACGGCUCUUACGUGUAAGAGAGAUGACGGUACCGGAGGAAUAAGCACCGGCUAACUCCGUGCCAGCAGCCGCGGUAAUACGGAGGGUGCAAGCGUUGUCCGGAUUUAUUGGGUUUAAAGGGUGCGUAGGCGGCUUUUUAAGUCCGGGGUGAAAUCUCGUAGCUCAACUACGAAAGGGCCCUGGAUACUGAGGAGCUAGAGUACAGGCGAGGCUGGUGGAACGGGUGGUGUAGCGGUGAAAUGCAUAGAUACCAUCCAGAACUCCGAUUGCGAAGGCAGCCAGCUAGACUGUCACU